AAUGGGCGCAAGCCUGACGGAGCAACGCCGCGUGAAUGAAGAAGGCCUUCGGGUCGUAAAGUUCUGUCGAAAGGGAAGAAGUCUUUAUAUGUGAAUAAUGUAUAGAGGUGACGGUACCAUUCGAGGAAGCUCCGGCUAACUACGUGCCAGCAGCCGCGGUAAUACGUAGGGAGCAAGCGUUGUCCGGAAUUACUGGGCGUAAAGGGCGCGUAGGCGGGAUGAUAAGUUAGGUGUGAAAACUUAGGGCUUAACCUUAGGACUGCACUUAAAACUAUCAUUCUUGAGGACAGGAGAGGAAAGUGGAAUUCCUAGUGUAGCGGUGAAAUGCGUAGAUAUUAGGAGGAACACCAGUGGCGAAGGCGACUUUCUGGACUGUAACUGACGCUGAGUCGCGAAAGCGUGGGGAGUGAA
rnacentral:rRNA from 1 species